rnacentral:rRNA from 1 species
GAUGAACGCUGGCGGCGUGCCUAAUACAUGCCAGUCGAGCGAACGGACGAGAAGCUUGCUUCUCUGAUUUUAGCGGCGGACGGGUGAGUAACACGGGGAUAACCUAACUAUAGGACUGGGAUAACUUCGGGAAACCGUAGCUAAUACCGGAUAAUAUUUUGAACCGCAUUGUUCAAAAGUGAAAGACGGUCUUGCUGUCACUUAUAGAUGGAUCCGCGCUGCAUUAGCUAGUUGUUACGGUAACGGCUUACCAACGCAACGAUGCAUAGCCGCACUGAGAGGGUGAUCGGCCACAGUGGAGAUGAGACGAGGAGCCGAAUCCGAAGUGAGGCAGGAGUCGGGCACCUUCCGGAAUGAGCGAAAGCCUGAAUGAGACAAGCCGCGUGAGUGAUGACGGGCUUCGGCUCGUAAAACUUUGUUACUAGGGAAGAACAUAUGUGUAAGUCACUGUGCAAAUAUGGACGGUACCUAAGAAGAAAGCCACGGCUACCCACGU